GAUGAACGCUGGCGGCGUGCCUAAUACAUGCAAGUCGAGCGAACAGAUGAGGAGCUUGCUCCUCUGACGUUAGCGGCGGACGGGUGAGUAACACGUGGAUAACCUACCUAUAAGACUGGGAUAACUUCGGGAAACCGGAGCUAAUACCGGAUAAUAUAUUGAACCGCAUGGUUCAAUAGUGAAAGACGGUUUUGCUGUCACUUAUAGAUGGAUCCGCGCCGCAUUAGCUAGUUGGUAAGGUAACGGCUUACCAAGGCGACGAUGCGUAGCCGACCUGAGAGGGUGAUCGGCCACACGGGAACUGAGACACGGGCCAGACUCCUACGGGAGGCAGCAGUAGGGAAUCUUCCGCAAUGGGCGAAAGCCUGACGGAGCAAAGCCGCGUGAGUGAUGAAGGUCUUCGGAUCGUAAAACUCUGUUAUUAGGGAAGAACAAAUGUGUAAGUAACUAUGCACGUCUUGACGGUACCUAAUCAGAAAGCCACGGCUAACUACGUG
rnacentral:rRNA from 1 species